rnacentral:lncRNA from 1 species
CUGACUCAGCCAUUAAAGCAAUUUUCCCUGGACGGUCUUCACCAAAUGACUGGGAAAUAAAAUGUCAUGGAAUUGAGACCACCCAUAUACCCCCAGCCCACUAUAAGGGGAGAAGAAAGCUAGCAGCAAAUGAAAAUGGAAGCAGAGGGAAGAAGCCAUACCAUCACCCUUGUUCCUCCAUCUGGAGGCAGAAUAGAUGCUGCUCGUGCCAUCGCUGUUGAAUUAGUUUAUGAAGGACACCUCCUGUGAGGUUAAAUAGCAACUGUGGGCUGCCAUCACAUGUUGUACUAAAUCCUCUUCUGCCCUUUCUGUUCUAUAACUCAACAAAUGGUAAACACUCCUCUAGUGAGUGCCAAAGAAGGGAGCAAUAACUACCGAGCAGGCAUCUCAGGUCACCUGGGGACACACCAAUAGCUGUGCCUAAUGAUCAGAUCAGAAAGCCCAAUUAAACUCCAGAGAGUUCCUUUGAGCAAUCACUGACAGGGCAUUGACUUCUGUAUGGCCUCAGCAAUGCAGAGCACCUGGAAAAGGGCUCAUUAGCUACAGGAAGCCUCUUUCACCGUUCGACUGCAGCUCCAACUCAGAAACAUGAAACUCUUGGCAGGUAGCUCUGUCAGCAGCUCAGGGGAAUCUUUCCUUUGGUUUCAGUUCAUAAUAUUUGGCAACGUCUGCAGUCACCUGUGAAGAAGCUAAAAAUCCACGGUAAGAGGCAGCCAACUCACCCGUUCAUAAUCGUUACAGGGUUGUGGAUUACAGUAGUUUGGGGCUCCUGAGUGAGAACAAAAUAGAGAAAGAAACAGUUCGC